rnacentral:rRNA from 1 species
GCGGGGGAUAACAUUUGGAAACAGAUGCUAAUACCGCAUAACAAUUUGAAUCGCAUGAUUCAAAUUUAAAAGAUGGCUUCGGCUAUCACUUUGGGAUGGACCUGCGGCGCAUUAGCUUGUUGGUAGGGUAACGGCCUACCAAGGCUGUGAUGCGUAGCCGAGUUGAGAGACUGAUCGGCCACAAUGGAACUGAGACACGGUCCAUACUCCUACGGGAGGCAGCAGUAGGGAAUCUUCCACAAUGGGCGCAAGCCUGAUGGAGCAACACCGCGUGAGUGAAGAAGGGUUUCGGCUCGUAAAGCUCUGUUGUUAGAGAAGAACGUGCGUGAGAGCAACUGUUCACGCAGUGACGGUAUCUAACCAGAAAGUCACGGCUAACUACGUGCCAGCAGCCGCGGUAAUACGUAGGUGGCAAGCGUUAUCCGGAUUUAUUGGGCGUAAAGCGAGCGCAGGCGGUUUGAUAAGUCUGAUGUGAAAGCCUUUGGCUUAACCAAAGAAGUGCAUCGGAAACUGUCAGACUUGAGUGCAGAAGAGGACAGUGGAACUCCAUGUGUAGCGGUGGAAUGCGUAGAUAUAUGGAAGAACACCAGUGGCGAAGGCGGCUGUCUGGUCUGCAACUGACGCUGAGGCUCGAAAGCAUGGGUAGCGAACAGGAUUAGAUACCCUGGUAGUCCAUGCCGUAAACGAUGAGUGCUAGGUGUUGGAGGGUUUCCGCCCUUCAGUGCCGCAGCUAACGCAUUAAGCACUCCGCCUGGGGAGUACGACCGCAAGGUUGAAACUCAAAGGAAUUGACGGGGGCCCGCACAAGCGGUGGAGCAUGUGGUUUAAUUCGAAGCUACGCGAAGAACCUUACCAGGUCUUGACAUCUUGCGCCAACCCUAGAGAUAGGGCGUUUCCUUCGGGAACGCAAUGACAGGUGGUGCAUGGUCGUCGUCAGCUCGUGUCGUGAGAUGUUGGGUUAAGUCCCGCAACGAGCGCAACCCUUGUUACUAGUUGCCAGCAUUCAGUUGGGCACUCUAGUGAGACUGCCGGUGACAAACCGGAGGAAGGUGGGGACGACGUCAGAUCAUCAUGCCCCUUAUGACCUGGGCUACACACGUGCUACAAUGGACGGUACGACGAGUCGCGAACUCGCGAGGGCAAGCUAAUCUCUUAAAACCGUUCUCAGUUCGGACUGCAGGCUGCAACUUAGCGGCUA